GAUGAACGCUAGCUACAGGCUUAACACAUGCAAGUCGAGGGACCGGCGCACGGGUGAGUAACACGUAUCCAACCUGCCCUUUACUCGGGGAUAGCCUUUCGAAAGAAAGAUUAAUACCCGAUAUAAAGGAUGGGGAUGCGUUCCAUUAGGUUGGUGGUGCGGUAACGGCUAACCAAGCCUUCGAUGGAUAGGGGUUCUGAGAGGAAGGUCCCCCACAUUGGAAACGAGGCACGGUCCCAACUCCUACGGGAGUCAGCAGUGAGGAAUAUUGGUGAAUGGGCGCUAGCCUGAACCUGCCACGUAGCGUGAAGGAUGAAGGCUUAUGGGUCGUAAUCUUCUUUUAUAUAAGAAUAUGUAUUAUAUGAAUAAGGAUCGGCUAACUCCGUGCCAGCAGCCGCGGUAAUUC
rnacentral:rRNA from 1 species